GACGUAGGGGGCCAGCGUUGCUCGGAAUUACUGGGUGUAAAGGGUUCGUAGGCGGUGUGGCAAGUCGGGAGUGAAAUCUCUGGGCUCAACCCAGAGUCUGCUUCCGAAACUGCUGUGCUUGAGUGUGGGAGAGGCGCGUGGAAUUGCAGGUGUAGCGGUGAAAUGCGUAGAGAUCGGGAGGAACAUCUGUGGCGAAGGCGGCCAUCUGGACCAGCACUGACACUGAGGCACGAAAGCGUGGGGAGCAAACAGG
rnacentral:rRNA from 1 species